AUACGGAGGAUCCGAGCGUUAUCCGGAUUUAUUGGGUUUAAAGGGAGCGUAGGUGGAUUGUUAAGUCAGUUGUGAAAGUUUGCGGCUCAACCGUAAAAUUGCAGUUGAAACUGGCAGUCUUGAGUACAGUAGAGGUGGGCGGAAUUCGUGGUGUAGCGGUGAAAUGCUUAGAUAUCACGAAGAACUCCGAUUGCGAAGGCAGCACUCUAAACUGUUAAUGACACUCAUGCUCGAAAGUGUGGGUAUCAAACAGGAUUAGAUACCCUGAUAGUCCACACAGUAAACGAUGAAUACUCGCUUUUUGCGAUAGACAGUAAGCGGCCAAGCGAAAGCAUUAAGUAUUCCACCUGGGGCGUACGCCGGCAACGGUGAAACUCAAAUGAAUUGACGGGG
rnacentral:rRNA from 1 species